rnacentral:rRNA from 1 species
AGUGAACGCUGGCGGUAGGCCUAACACAUGCAAGUCGAACGGCAGCACAGGAGAGCUUGCUCUCUGGGUGGCGAGUGGCGGACGGGUGAGGAAUACAUCGGAAUCUACUCUGUCGUGGGGGAUAACGUAGGGAAACUUACGCUAAUACCGCAUACGACCUACGGGUGAAAGCAGGGGACCUUCGGGCCUUGCGCGAUUGAAUGAGCCGAUGUCGGAUUAGCUAGUUGGCGGGGUAAAGGCCCACCAAGGCGACGAUCCGUAGCUGGUCUGAGAGGAUGAUCAGCCACACUGGAACUGAGACACGGUCCAGACUCCUACGGGAGGCAGCAGUGGGGAAUAUUGGACAAUGGGCGCAGGCCUAAUCCAGCCAUACCGCGUGGGUGAAGAAGGCCUUCGGGUUGUAAAGCCCUUUUGUUGGGAAAGAAAUCCAGCUGGCUAAUACCCGGUUGGGAUGACGGUACCCAAAGAAUAAGCACCGGCUAACUUCGUGCCAGCCGCCGCAGUAA